AUGUUAGUUCCUGGCCAGCUUUCAGAGCAGCUGUAAGACAUUGCUUUGACCUCAUCUAUAUUUUUAUUCUUAGCAGUCGAACCAGCUUUCUCUCUCCAGAAAGAAAUGGUAUUAAUUCUGCAAGAUUUUUUGCUAAUCCUGUUUCCAGAGAAGACGAAGAAAGCUACAUCGAAAUGGAGGAGCACCGAACAGCCAGUUCCCUGAGCAGUGGUGCCCUUACGUGGACAAAGAAAUUCAGCCUAGAUUAUUUGGCCCUGGACUUCAAUUCAGCAUCACCAGCCCCCAUGCAGCAGAAACUUCUCCUUUCAGAAGAACAAAGAGUAGACUAUGUCCAAGUGGAUGAGCAGAAGACACAGGCUCUCCAGAGCACAAAACAGGAGUGGACGGAUGAAAGGCAAUCCAAAGUCAAAACCAAGAGAGAAUGUGUAGUUUUCAAGGUCUUGGCCAGAACCUUUAGGAAAGAAGACCUGUUUAUACAUUGAAGGAAGAAAAGAAGGAAGCAGUUGCCUUCCGGAGGGGGCUCUGAGAGAAUCUAGCCUCCCCUCUGUCCUAUUGGAGCAAAGAUUGGAGUGAGUGUUGCCACCAACAGGAUUUUAUCGUUUGACUCCAAUACCUGAAAUUCUGACUUCUCUCCUGUGCUUCAAUGAGAAUGAUAAAUUAUCCUAGCAAAGGGGCCUCUGGAGACCAUCUUGUUCCAGCCUCUGAAGACAGUUGAGGAGAUCAAGCCCAGCAAUGGUGGCAGAAUCUUACUCCACAGACUUCAGCAGACUAGUCAUUUCAAUACCCAAAGAAAGACAAGUGACAGGGGCAAUGGAUCUCAGGCUCUGAGAUAAGUAUAUCAGAUGACACUGGUGGCUCUAAGGAUAUUGCAAUUAAGCAGCUACCUGUAGCCAGGUAUUCUGCUGCUCUUGGCCUUUUCCCACGCAUCGUCUCGUGUCUUCUCCGAAAGACCUUGGAAGAUAGGCCUGGAAGAGACUGUUGAUGCCACUUUGAAGAAAAGAACACUGAGAACUAGAGGAGGGAACACUUUGCCCAAGAUUACUCACAAAGCCAAGACCCAGAGUCCAGCUUAGAGAAUAGAGUUGUUCAGGCUGCCAAUUGCAAGCUCAUUCCUCUACCUCAUACUUCCUCUGAGGAUUUUGACAAAAUGGAUUAAUUGGGUGAGCCUUGGAGACAUGUGGGAAACACCUGCAGACACAAAAUGAGUAGUCAUCCUGUCUCCCUUUCAAUAGGGAUCUGAACAGGUGUUUUGAUACUUGAAAGAUGUGCAUGUCAAGUGAGGGUUUCUUUCUGCGAUGUUCAACUGGAACUCUCCCAUCAGUAGUUACAAUUAGAAAUACCUACUGAUGGUUAGUCUGAAGGCCAUUCUCAUGGUCACCUAUACAGUGUGUUUCCCUGUGAGCUAGCAGACACAAUGACCAGGAAAAAACCUAUGAAUUCCAUUCUUAGGUUUCCCAGCCAAUUGCUCCCUUCUGCUUUAGAAGUGACUAGGUACUGAGAGUACAAACACUCCCACUUUAUAAUGAAGGCGUCAUGUCACCCCUUCCUUUACAGGUCCUGGGGUCCAGGAGACCCAGAAUGAAGGUGUCAGUUGGGCAUGAAGUGUUAUUUAGUGUCCAUUCUUGAUCCUUCUGAGCACCUACAGCUGGAAACUAAGCAGAUACUGGUCCUGCAUUCUGACUGAGAUUGUGUCUUCUUUAUGAGGAUAGAUCAAAUUGGCAGUCAGGCCCAUGAUAGUCAGUGCAGUUGGGGCAGUUGUAGACUUUGCUACAGGAUUUCAGGGUUUCCAAUCACCCCACAGGUAAGUGAAUGCCAAAGUCUUCUUUUUUCAGACCAUACAAGAAGUCAUUUUGAUUUUCAAAGAAGCCGUUUUGAUUUUCAAAGAAGCAGGUUCUGGUGACAUUAUUUUCUUCCUUGGACAAAGUGGGGGGAAAUUUCUAAGUAUUUUAACUGAGUUCAGGGUCCUUAGUGAGCCUGGACAGAGCAAGGAGAGGGCUCCCCACUCCCUAAGCCCCACAGCCAGCUCUGCAUCACCACACACAGCCAGAGCCUGUGAGGAGCUGCCUUCUUCCCCAUGUGACUUGCAAAGAGUCUCAGGCAAGAAACCAGGGCUUCAAACUGCUAGUUCCCAUGGAGGGUAGUUCCCUCGUGUGGAGCACUUGUGUUAGGAUCACUGAUUAUCUGACAAAGGCUGGUGCAGAAAAAAAAUUGUAGGCCCAAGUGUCAAGAACCACACCAGAUUGGAGAUAGAAAAGAAUAGCUGAAAUUAUGUCAGUAGUGAAAUGUCACUCCAUUGACCCACCGAAAAAAGAAAAGAAAUCUGUUUCUACCAAACAUUUCCAGAAACGUAUUUAUAGCAUGAAGAAACACACAUGGGUAGUGUGACCUGUUUGGAUGUGAUUACUUAAAAAUGGAAUGCUCUGAAUAGGCACUCUCUACAUUAAAGGUAUGGAAGGCGAUAGGGGUCAGAAUUUUAAAAAUUUAAUUUUGAAAAAGGUGACUCACCCCUCAUUUCCAGAGUGUAGGCAAUUAUGUCCUGCUUUGAUAAAACUGCUAGAGGAUGGCUAUGCAAAAGCAUAACGAUUCAAGGAAACAAAGUACAGGUAGUUUUUGAGCUGACAGCAGCAAAGGCACCAUAAGUCAAAAUAUUGGUUUUGGUGGAGAUGAUCGAUGUGUGUGUGUGAGAGAGAGCUAUGUUUCUAACCAAGGGCCUAAUGUUUGUUACAGAAAUGAUCCCAGAGACCUACAAGAUGUGGGAAUCAGCAUAACAGGGCAAUGCAGCAAUUAACCCCACAUCGUUUUCUGUAGUUCCUUUUUGUUUCAUUUUCUUCUGUCUCACCUCGUUAGAAAAUUCCUCCCAGUCAGGGGUCGUCCAGUGCAGGACGGGGGACCCAAGGGUCUCAAGCCUGCAAGUCCAGAAGGUGACAAACCCAGGAGCACUGGGAGUUAAGCUUUCCUUGGGGAGGGAAGAGCCUUGAUGUCCAGCACACAGCCUGGCUAUAAAGACACGAAGCGACCUACCCACUGUACAGUCCACUUCACAGGAUCAGCUGAAUCAUGACCUUUAAAAGUUCCGAGUUGAAACUGAAGGCUCUCCUCAGACCUGGCUUUUUCCUCAGUCCCUGUUCAUACCAUCUCUGCACCCACAAUCACACUGAUUUUUCAAAUUCAUUUUGUUUUUGCUGUUUCAUUUCUGGCAUUAAUAAAAGUCUUAUAAGGA
rnacentral:lncRNA from 10 species